AAGUCGUAACAAGGUUUCCGUAGGUGAACCUGCGGAAGGAUCAUUAUAAAAUUUUCAUAUAUUAUUUAUUUAAUAUAUAAAAUUAUACGAAAAUGUAUUCAAAACCCACACUCUUUAUAAACCAUGAAAAAACAUUAUAUCUCGUAUAUAAUAAUAUAAAAAAACAACUUUCAACAACGGAUCUCUUGGCUCUC
rnacentral:misc_RNA from 1 species